UACAGAGGUCUCAAGCGUUGUUCGGAUUCAUUGGGCGUAAAGGGUGUGUAGGUGGCGCGCUAAGUCGGGUGUGAAAUUUCGGAGCUUAACUCCGAAACUGCAUUCGAUACUGGCGUGCUUGAGGACUGGAGAGGAGACUGGAAUUUACGGUGUAGCAGUGAAAUGCGUAGAUAUCGUAAGGAAGACCAGUGGCGAAGGCGGGUCUCUGGACAGUUCCUGACGCUGAGGCGCGAAGGCCAGGGGGAGCAAAACGGGG
rnacentral:rRNA from 1 species